UGAGCAAUCUGCCCUUCUCUUCGGAAUAAGCGUUGGAAACGACGUCUAAUGCCGAAUACGACCUCCUUUCGCAUGAUCGGAGGUGGAAAGCUCCGGCGGAGAAGGAUGAGCUCGCGGCCUAUCAGCUAGUUGGUGUGGAUAGCGCCCAACGAGGCGACGG
rnacentral:rRNA from 1 species